rnacentral:rRNA from 1 species
AUUGAACGCUGGCGGCGGGCCUAACACAUGCAAGUCGAACGAGUGGCGGACGGGUGAGUAAUGUCUGAGAAACUGCCUGAUGGAGGGGGAUAACUACUGUAAACAGUAGCUAAUACCGCAUACCAUCAGAUGUGCCCAGAUGGGAUUAGCUAGUUGGUGGGGUAACGCAUCACCAAGGCGACGAUCCCGAGCUGGUCUGAGAGGUUGACCAGCCACACUGGAACUGAGACACGGUCCAGACUCCUACGGGAGGCAGCAGUGGGGAAUAUUGCACAAUGGGCGAAAGCCUGAUGCAGCCAUGCCGCGUGUAUGAAGAAGGCCUUCGGGUUGUAAAGUACUUUCAGUGGGGAGGCGUUACCCGCAGAAGAAGCCCCGGCUAACUCCGUGCCAGCAGCCGCGGUAAUUC